AUGUGGGAGUGAUUUCUUAUUAAUAAAGAAACUGCCUAGGCCCCUUGAUAAGGCCCACCCUUGGGUGGGUGGAGAAAACAGGAGAAUUCUGGGAGAAGGAGUCUUGGUGGAGAGUCGCCAUGAUGCUCCCACUCCAGACAGACGCAGGUUAAGAUCCUCUCUGGUUUGUCCAUUGAGACUACUUCAUAUGCUCCAAUCCUACAGGCCAGAGCGAUGUCCCACAAUCACGAACAAGCCCAUGACGAGCAGGUCAUCUACUCUGAGCCAGGAAACUGCACGGCAAAAUGGAAAACUACCUAAACCCGAAGGCAGCAGAGACCCAGGCGUAAGGUGUCCAAGUGGUCGGCAGUGGUGAGCAGUCAACGGCGG